rnacentral:rRNA from 1 species
UACGUAGGGUGCAAGCGUUAAUCGGAAUUACUGGGCGUAAAGCGUGCGCAGGCGGUUUUGUAAGACAGAGGUGAAAUCCCCGGGCUCAACCUGGGAACUGCCUUUGUGACUGCAAGGCUUGAGUGCGGCAGAGGGGGAUGGAAUUCCGCGUGUAGCAGUGAAAUGCGUAGAUAUGCGGAGGAACACCGAUGGCGAAGGCAAUCCCCUGGGCCAUAACUGACGCUGAGGAGCGAAAGCGUGGGGAGCGAACAGG